CCUUCGGUAGCUCAGUUGGUAGAGCGGUGGACUGUAGUGUGUGUAUUAGCGUAGUUAUCCAUAGGUCGCUGGUUCAAAUCCGGCCCGAAGGA
rnacentral:tRNA from 1 species